AAGUUUCAGUGCAUUCCGUUGAUGUAGACGGCGUGAAAACGGAAACAAGAAGUAUGCCGUCUCACUGUGCUGCAUACAAUUACACACUGCGUCGUACGAUUGAGACAAGGAAACUUGGAAUGACUUUUCAUAGGUUUCCCAGAGACUAUGGGUUGAGGAGGAAUUGGAAGUUUGUCGGCUUAGACCUGUGUCAUUCCAUCAGUGUUAAACUUCCCGGCUCAUCUUGGAAGAGUACGUGCCAGAAAGACCACAACCAAGCAGCCUUGAGAUCUUAGGCAGCGUCUCCCUCAGCUUCAGCUCCAGAGACGGCAGGCGGGACGAGUCAACGGAGGCCGGGUGGACGAAGGCAUGCAGCUGAGUACAAUCCAGAAAACAACAGAGGAGGAGUGCAGGGCCAGAACAAACAGAGUAGCA
ensembl:lncRNA